AAACUGUGAUGAGGACAGGCUAGGAUGUAUUCCUGCAGCCUCUCCUAAGCUUCUGGGAUGGAUUCCAUCACUGUCUGCUGAAAACUUGAAAUUUUCCUGCGCAGGGC